rnacentral:misc_RNA from 1 species
AACACUGUUAACCUGCGGUACCUGCGGAAGGAUCAUUACCGAGUGUGGUCCCAUAAGGGGCGCCUCCCGUCCUUUGCAGGGCCUUUAGGGGCUUUUUGACUUUGCUUCGGCGGGCUUGCCCCGCCGGAACACCCUCAAGAAAAUCUUUAUGAACCGUUUGUCUGAGUUGCUUGCGAAUAAAAACAAAACUUUCAACAAUGGAUCU